AGUCUGAUGGGAGCACGCCGCGUGAGUGAAGAAGGUUUUCGGAUCGUAAAGCUCUGUUUGUUGGUGAAGAAGGGUAGUGGAGAGUAACUGGUCUUUUUUGUGGCGGGAAUCUACCAGAAAAGGCGCGGGUUAUACUACGGUGCCCGCCAGCCGCGG
rnacentral:rRNA from 1 species